rnacentral:rRNA from 1 species
ACACAUGCAAGUCGAGGGGCAUCAUGUAGGUGGCUUGCCACCUAUGAUGGCGACCGGCGCACGGGUGAGUAACGCGUAUCCAACCUGCCCCUUUCCCCGGCACAGCCCGUAGAAAUGCGGAUUAAUGCCGGAUGCUGUCGCGCGACGGCAUCAGAGCGCGACGAAAGGUUUUUUCCGGAAAGGGAUGGGGAUGCGUCCGAUUAGCUUGACGGCGGGGUGAAGGCCCACCGUGGCGACGAUCGGUAGGGGCCCUGAGAGGGGAGCCCCCCACAUUGGGACUGAGACACGGCCCAAACUCCUACGGGAGGCAGCAGUGAGGAAUAUUGGUCAAUGGGCGGAAGCCUGAACCAGCCAAGUAGCGUGAGGGACGACGGCCCUACGGGUUGUAAACCUCUUUUGCGCGGGGACAAAGUUCGCCAUGCGUGGCGUUUUGCGGGUACCGCGCGAAUAAGGACCGGCUAAUUCCGUGCCAGCAGCCGCGGUAAUACGGAAGGUCCUGGCGUUAUCCGGAUUCAUUGGGUUUAAAGGGAGCGCAGGCCGCCUGUUAAGCGUGCCGUGAAAUGUGCCGGCUCAACCGGGGCACUGCGGCGCGAACUGGCGGGCUUGAGUGCGCGGAAGGCGGGCGGAAUUCGUGGUGUAGCGGUGAAAUGCUUAGAUAUCAC